AUUGAACGCUGGCGGCAGGCCUAACACAUGCAAGUCGAGCGGUAACACAGAGAGCUUGCUCUCGGGUGACGAGCGGCGGACGGGUGAGUAAUGUCUGGGAAACUGCCUGAUGGAGGGGGAUAACUACUGGAAACGGUAGCUAAUACCGCAUAACGUCGCAAGACCAAAGAGGGGGACCUUCGGGCCUCUUGCCAUCAGAUGUGCCCAGAUGGGAUUAGCUAGUAGGUGGGGUAACGGCUCACCUAGGCGACGAUCCCUAGCUGGUCUGAGAGGAUGACCAGCCACACUGGAACUGAGACACGGUCCAGACUCCUACGGGAGGCAGCAGUGGGGAAUAUUGCACAAUGGGCGCAAGCCUGAUGCAGCCAUGCCGCGUGUAUGAAGAAGGCCUUCAGGUUGUAAAGUACUUUCAGCGGGGAGGAAGGCGAUAAGGUUAAUAACCUUGUCGAUUGACGUUACCCGCAGAAGAAGCACCGGCUAACUCCGUGCCAGCCGCCGCGGUAACAC
rnacentral:rRNA from 1 species